CCUUAGAGUUUGAUCCUGGCUCAGGACGAACGCUGGCGGCGUGCCUAACACAUGCAAGUCGAGCGGAGACAGUGAGUAGCUUGCUACGAGCUGUUUUAGCGGCGGACGGGUGAGUAACGCGUGAGCAACCUUUCCCAGACAGGGGAAUAACACACCGAAAGGUGUACUAAUACCGCAUAAGACCACGGGAUCACAUGGUUCUGGGGUAAAAGAUUUAUCGGUUUGGGGUGGGCUCGCGUCCGAUUAGGUAGUUGGUGAGGUAACGGCCCACCAAGCCGACGAUCGGUAGCCGACCUGAGAGGGUGAUCGGCCACAUUGGGACUGAGACACGGCCCAAACUCCUACGGGAGGCAGCAGUGGGGAAUAUUGGGCAAUGGAGGAAACUCUGACCCAGCAACGCCGCGUGGAGGAAGAAGGUUUUCGGAUCGUAAACUCCUGUCCUUGGAGACGAGUAGAAGACGGUAUCCAAGGAGGAAGCCCCGGCUAACUACGUGCCAGCAGCCGCGGUAAUACGUAGGGGGCAAGCGUUGUCCGGAAUAAUUGGGCGUAAAGGGCGCGUAGGCGGCUCGGUAAGUCUGGAGUGAAAGUCCUGCUUUUAAGGUGGGAAUUGCUUUGGAUACUGUCGGGCUUGAGUGCAGGAGAGGUUAGUGGAAUUCCCAGUGUAGCGGUGAAAUGCGUAGAGAUUGGGAGGAACACCAGUGGCGAAGGCGACUAACUGGACUGUAACUGACGCUGAGGCGCGAAAGUGUGGGGAGCAAACAGGAUUAGAUACCCUGGUAGUCCACACUGUAAACGAUGAAUGCUAGGUGUAGGGGGUAUCGACCCCUUCUGUGCCGCAGUCAACACAAUAAGCAUUCCGCCUGGGGAGUACGGCCGCAAGGUUGAAACUCAAAGGAAUUGACGGAAGGGCGA
rnacentral:rRNA from 1 species